GACGAACGCUGGCGGCGUGCUUAACACAUGCAAGUCGAACGGAAAGGCCCUGCUUUUGUGGGGUGCUCGAGUGGCGAACGGGUGAGUAACACGUGAGUAACCUGCCCUUGACUUUGGGAUAACUUCAGGAAACUGGGGCUAAUACCGGAUAGGAGCUCCUGCUGCAUGGUGGGGGUUGGAAAGUUUCGGCGGUUGGGGAUGGACUCGCGGCUUAUCAGCUUGUUGGUGGGGUAGUGGCUUACCAAGGCUUUGACGGGUAGCCGGCCUGAGAGGGUGACCGGCCACAUUGGGUCUGAGAUACGGCCCAGACUCCUACGGGAGGCAGCAGUGGGGAAUAUUGCACAAUGGGCGGAAGCCUGAUGCAGCAACACCGCGUGCGGGAUGACGGCCUUCGGGUUGUAAACCGCUUUCGCCUGUGACGAAGCGUGAGUGACGGUAAUGGGUAAAGAAGCACCGGCUAACUACGUG
rnacentral:rRNA from 1 species